rnacentral:rRNA from 1 species
CCUACGGGUGGCAGCAGUGAGGAAUAUUGGUCAAUGGCCGGAAGGCUGAACCAGCCAUGCCGCGUGAAGGUCAGUGCCCUAUGGGCGUUAAACUUCUUUUGUGCGGGAGCAAUAAUGGUCACGUCUGGCCAGACGAGAGUACCGUACGAAUAAGCAUCGGCUAACUCCGUUCCAGCAGCCGCGGUCAUACGGGGGAUGCAAGCGUUAUCCGGAUUUAUUGGGUUUAAAGGGUGCGUAGGCUGUGAGGUAAGUCAGCGGUGAAAUGCCCCCGCUCAACGGGGUGAAGUGCCAUUGAUACUGCCUGGCUGGAAUGCGGAUGCCGUGGGAGGAAUGUGUGGUGUAGCGGUGAAAUGCAUAGAUAUCACACAGAACACCGAUUGCGAAGGCAUCUCACGAAUCCGCGAUUGACGCUGAUGCACGAAAGCGUGGGUAUCAAACAGGAUUAGAUACCCUUGUAGUC